AUUGAACGCUGGCGGCAGGCCUAACACAUGCAAGUCGAGCGGAUGAAGGGAGCUUGCUCCUGGAUUCAGCGGCGGACGGGUGAGUAAUGCCUAGGAAUCUGCCUGGUAGUGGGGGAUAACGUCCGGAAACGGGCGCUAAUACCGCAUACGUCCUGAGGGAGAAAGUGGGGGAUCUUCGGACCUCACGCUAUCAGAUGAUCCUAGGUCGGAUUAGCUAGUUGGUGGGGUAAAGGCCUACCAAGGCGACGAUCCGUAACUGGUCUGAGAGGAUGAUCAGUCACACUGGAACUGAGACACGGUCCAGACUCCUACGGGAGGCAGCAGUGGGGAAUAUUGGACAAUGGGCGAAAGCCUGAUCCAGCCAUGCCGCGUGUAUGAAGAAGGUCUUCGGAUUGUAAAGCACUUUAAGUUGGGAGGAAGGGCAGUAAGUUAAUACCUUGCUGUUUUGACGUUACCAACAGAAUAAGCACCGGCUAACUUCGUG
rnacentral:rRNA from 1 species